rnacentral:rRNA from 1 species
GUGAACGCUGGCGGUAGGCCUAACACAUGCAAGUCGAACGGCAGCACAGUAAGAGCUUGCUCUUACGGGUGGCGAGUGGCGGACGGGUGAGGAAUACAUCGGAAUCUACUUUUUCGUGGGGGAUAACGUAGGGAAACUUACGCUAAUACCGCAUACGACCUACGGGUGAAAGCAGGGGAUCUUCGGACCUUGCGCGAUUGAAUGAGCCGAUGUCGGAUUAGCUAGUUGGCGGGGUAAAGGCCCACCAAGGCGACGAUCCGUAGCUGGUCUGAGAGGAUGAUCAGCGACACUGGAACUGUGACACGGUCCAGACCCCGAAGGGAGGCAGCAGUGGGGAAUAUUAGACAGUGGGCGCAAGCAUGAUCCAGUCAUGCCGAGUGGGUGAAGAAGGCCUUCGGAUGGUAAAUCUCUUUUGUUAGGAAAGAAAAGAAGCAGAAGGUAACCCCGAUGUUCUGACGGUACCCAAAGAGUAAGCACCGGCUAACUUCGUG